GUGAAGCUAUUGAAUGAUAUUGUGUGGAGAUUGAUAGAUCAGAUGCUUAUAUGCAGAUACUUGAGAUGCAUUUGGAUCCAAGGAUGGUAGAAAGCUAUGUUUAAAGCUGCAUUUCGCCUUCUCCAAAACCAUGGACAAAUGUAGGAUCCCAUACAAGUUCUGGAAACACAUACAGAGGACUGCUUGUAAUGAAAUCAUUUCUGUUACAUUGGAAACAAUUAGUACCACAGCUAUUUCCUUUGUACUUAAAUAUAGUGCAUUUAGUUUUGGGUUGGGGAGUCUGUCCCCUUCCAUACAGGUAGAAAUCUUGCUUUCAAUUGCGUACUUAGCAUAUUCCUUUAUUUAUUUUAUGAACUGUUAUGUAGUAACAAACAAUUGAAUGAAGGAGAAUCCACUCAUUUAACAUAUUAA